rnacentral:rRNA from 1 species
GCGAACGGGUGAGUAAUGCAUCGGAACGUACCCAGUAGUGGGGGAUAACUUACCGAAAGGUAAGCUAAUACCGCAUACGCACUGAGGUGGAAAGCAGGGGACCGCAAGGCCUUGCGCUAUUGGAGCGGCCGAUGUCGGAUUAGCUAGUUGGUGGGGUAAAGGCCUACCAAGGCGACGAUCCGUAGCGGGUCUGAGAGGAUGAUCCGCCACACUGGAACUGAGACACGGUCCAGACUCCUACGGGAGGCAGCAGUGGGGAAUUUUGGACAAUGGGCGCAAGCCUGAUCCAGCCAUGCCGCGUGAGUGAAGAAGGCCUUCGGGUUGUAAAGCUCUUUCGGCCGGGAAGAAAUCGUGGUGGCUAAUACCUGCCAUGGAUGACGGUACCGGACUAAGAAGCACCGGCUAACUACGUGCCAGCAGCCGCGGUAAUACGUAGGGUGCGAGCGUUAAUCGGAAUUACUGGGCGUAAAGCGUGCGCAGGCGGUUGUGUAAGACAGGCGUGAAAUCCCCGGGCUCAACCUGGGAACUGCGCUUGUGACUGCACGGCUAGAGUACGGCAGAGGGGGGUGGAAUUCCACGUGUAGCAGUGAAAUGCGUAGAGAUGUGGAGGAACACCGAUGGCGAAGGCAGCCCCCUGGGUCGAUACUGACGCUCAUGCACGAAAGCGUGGGGAGCAACAGGAUUAGAUACCCUGGUAGUCCACGCCCUAAACGAUGUCGACUAGUUGUUGGAGGGGUAAAACCCUUUAGUAACGUAGCUAACGCGUGAAGUCGACCGCCUGGGGAGUACGGCCGCAAGGU